AAGUCGUAACAAGGUUUCCGUAGGUGAACCUGCGGAAGGAUCAUUAAAGAGACGUUGCCCUUCGGGGUAUACCUCCCACCCAUUGUUUAUUUACCUUUGUUGCUUUGGCAGUCCCGGCUUUGGCCCACCGGCUCCGGCUGGUCAGUGACUGUCGAAGAUACCAAAACUCUGUUUGUUAAUAUUGUCUGAGUACUAUAUAAUAGUUAAAA
rnacentral:misc_RNA from 1 species